AUCGUUGAUUUACUCCAAAUCUGACGCUCGGGAGUAGUCUUGCCUUUGUAAAUAAGGAAAUAAAAUAAAUCACCCCGUAACUUCCGCGUGUUGCCCAGAUUCCUAUCGGGACGCAGAUUUUCCUCCACCCCGACCUCGCCUCGCGGCCCUCGCCAGAUCCCCUUUCCCCCGGCUCCGCCCCGCACCUCCUUCUCCGGCCAUCUCCGGUCCCCCGCUCCUCCUUCUCUCCUCGUGCAAUCGCUCACAUAUGAGGCCGCGGCGCCUUCACUACCGGGUGGCAAUCACACAUGGCCGGGGAGGCUCGCCAGCGGCGACAAGUGCGGGUGACAGGUACACAAGGCACCGAGGAAACGACAUAGCGGCUGCUGGUGAUUGCAAUUGCAGGUUGCAUCGUGCAGCCGUUCUCCGUGGUGACGGUGCGGUAACUAACGCGACUAAUGCAGACAUUGGCAGCCAGCAAGUGACGCAGUUUCUUGAUCUCCCAAGCCCCCUCGCCGCCCCUAGGCUAUGCCAGAAUCAUGCUUCCAAUUAACACUAAUUCUGUUCUGAACAUACUCUUUUCAUGCUUCUUAUCCAUGGUGAUUUUAAAUUGUAAUACGCAUGCUUCUCGGGGGAGAGUAUGCUUCCAUAGGUAAACAAAAUUCAGUGAAAUUUGUAUGUAGGUGAACCAAACUUGCAUCCCCAUGUUGCCGCAAUCUUAGUUUGUUUCUAUGUUCAAUGUUAUAUACUUGAAAAGACAAGUCAGAUUCAUGUAUACUAUACAUAUUUCAUGCUUCCUGA